GACGAACGCUGGCGGCGUGCUUAACACAUGCAAGUCGAACGGAAAGGCCCUGCUUUUGUGGGGUGCUCGAGUGGCGAACGGGUGAGUAACACGUGAGUAACCUGCCCUUGACUUUGGGAUAACUUCAGGAAACUGGGGCUAAUACCGGAUAGGAGCUCCUGCUGCAUGGUGGGGGUUGGAAAGUUUCGGCGGUUGGGGAUGGACUCGCGGCUUAUCAGCUUGUUGGUGGGGUAGUGGCUUACCAAGGCUUUGACGGGUAGCCGGCCUGAGAGGGUGACCGGCCACAUUGGGACUGAGAUAAGGCCCAGACUCCUACGGGAGGCAACAGUGGGGAAGAUUGCACAAUGGGCGGAAGCCUGAUGCAGCAACGCCGCGUGCGGGAUGACAGCCUUCGGGUUGUAAACCGCUUUCGCCUGUGACGAAGCGUGAGUGACGGUAAUGGGUAAAGAAGCACCGGCUAACUACGUG
rnacentral:rRNA from 1 species